GUCGGAUGCACUGAGCUAUGGGUCUAAUGUCGUAAACAAGAUUUUCACGGACAGAUCUGUGAAGAGAGCCACUGUUUUUGGUCUAGCUAAUGUUUGCAAAACAACAAAAUGCAAACGCUCCGGGAGGAAAAGGGUCCUCCUCUUCCUCUGUCGUCUAUGCGUCUUUUUAUUCCUCCACUGCGCCUGGUGUGUGCAGCUCUGUGGCAGGUUGUAGAGCGGAGAGACAUCAUGGACUAUGGGCUGCUGGAGGAGUUUGCCACCAGCGUGUUGGAAAUAGUCCCUGAACUGAUGACUUACAGAGAGAGGGUCCAACUCCUCAUGGGACUGAGAGCACGGCUGGUUCUGGAGUUGUGUCGCUGUGAUGAUGAGCUGUGUCGCCCUGAUACUGUCCAGCCGCACCUUAACAGGAUAAGGAGCUGUGUCUCCAACCAGAAGGGAGAGGUUUCAGAUCCAAAGGUGGAAGCAUCAGAGGCCAGCUUCAUGAAGCUGAUUGAAACCCUACUGGAGCAGCCAGAGGAGAGGGAACUCUUCUUUCAGGAAACUCUAGCUUGGAUGGAAGGUUGGAGGAGGGAACAAAGGGAAUGAGUAUAGAAGUUAUCCAGUCUGCUGACUAAGAAAUGCAAAUAGACAGCAAAACAUAGAUGGAGAGAGAGAGCCUGUCUGCCGGAUUGCUGAGUUCCUGAAACAUGUCAAUGACCUGAUGCAUGGCCUCUACAGCAAUGCCUGGCCACACACUCAAUUACCAGUGACCUAUUCUGCCACAUCCCAGGUGCACAACCCAUGAGUCCUGAUUCAACACAAACUCACACGUGUGCAGUUGCAGAGAAGAAGAAGAGAUUUGGAAUUACACCCAUUUCUAACAAUGUUUGUUGCAAGAAUGAUAUGACACACACAACUUUUGAACAAAAUAAUAUUUUAUUGGUUUCUAUUGCCUCAUACACAUACUUACAUUGUUGUAUUUAGCUUUCUUUGUUUAAGACUAGCAAGCUGUCCUCAAUUGGGGGAACCUCUGUCCGGAACAAUGUCCACAGGAUUUUGUUUGAAUAUUACAACACGAAUUCGGAUUAAGCAAAACUUUACUAUUUAGAGAUGAGUUAAAAAUGGUAAUUAUCCAACUACUGUCUAAUUUUGAUAUCCUCUUUCUUAAAAAUGUUUCAGAUUGUUCACCAAUGAAUUAAUGUCUCACUUCAAUAUGAGGGGACAGAAGAGCAAACAUGCCUUUGCCUUACUUUUAGUAGAUUCUGAAUGUUAAAGAUAUUUUACUGUGCGUUACUGUUCUGUCGUGUCCUGCAUGCCCACAUUAUGCCAAUCAUUCAUUUAUUUUCUUCUCUUUCUAUGUAUACAGUAAGUGUCCGAAAACUCAAGAGGUUAAUGUGUUGCAGGCCCUCUGGAAAGUCAUAAAAUAUGCCCGUGACCGCCGUGGUGGAGGAGGAGGCAAAGUGUGUACAGUACCAGUCAAAAGUUUGGAAACACCUACUCAUUCAAGGGUUUUUAUUUAUUUGUACUAUUUUCU